UCGGCUUGCGUUUUUACAAUGUCGCCUUCGGAGAAACCAACCUGUCCACAGACUCACUGUCUUAAUACUCACCUUUACACAGAGGAUCAGCUCUCCACAGUUAGGCUACACUGUCUUUUAGAACAACUCACAACAGUAAAUCCACGACUCGCAGCUCAUGCUCUGCAUUCCGGAGAGAUUUAUUUCAAAGAGCUGCUGCUCUCUCCGUCGCUCUCUAUAAUAACAGACUUUGUAGCUAAUUAUUCCAUCGGUUGUUUUGACGCUUAGGCUGGAUUUGCCUCUCACUAGUCCAGGCUAUGUUAGCUGUGUAUACACAGACCUCAGCCUCAAACAGCCUCGGCUUCCCCAGGCGAGAGCCGUCUAUCUGUUCGUCUUCCUCAUGGAGCUGACGGACGCAGCAGCAGCAGCAGCAGCAGCAGCAGCAACAGCAGCUAAUAGAGGCUGGAACAGACAGACCCGAUGCUGCGUGGAGCAAAAAAAAGAGGAAUGUGUGAAUUUUGAGAGAAAAAACAGGGAGAAAGAAAGCGAUGUGUUGACAGCGUGGAGAAAUUGAAUUAGCAGCCUGAGCGCCGGGAACAUUGGAUCCUAUUAGAGCAGCAGAGGAGCAGCUACCUGCAGGCCUCAGAUCUCUGCAGCUCCCUGAGGACCAGGUCCAGCACAGAUCACCACAGCCCUGAGCACAUCUGGAGGACAAGCUUCAAACCACACAUUUCUUGUUACAUAUUUUGAAUAUCGCCAGAAAAACAAAACAAAACUGGAAAACAUAGAAACAGUGGAGCUUCAGAAAAUUUCAAGUCACGUUGCAAUGAAAAAUAAUGAAAACCUGAAAUAUCGAAAAGCACAUUUUCUGAAAGACUGAGUAAAGACAAAAAAAAUGCAGAAAUCUGAAGUCAAAACAUGCAGAAAAUACUGAUAUAUCAGAUUAUGCUGCUCUAUAUGACUGAAUGAAGAAGGUGUAGAUGUGAGCAUGAACCUGCGGCUGAUCUGCAGGAUAAAUAUGAUGAAACUCAACCUGAUGCAGAGAAAAAUCCUGCGCAUGUUCCGGAUCCACGUCUAAUCUCCACCUAACCUGCCUGCACACCAGUGAACACAUCCUCAGCUAACAGAGUCGUCCUGCAGACAAAGCUGUGAGCGUGCCAGUGGUUCUCAGAGUGUGGCUCGUGGACCUGCUGCGGCCCUGCAGGAGCUCUGAUGUAGAACAAAGCAGUUUAAUUUCACCUGCCAGCAAUUAUCCUGCUGAUAGAACAAAGUCUGAAAAUGACUAUUGAAACCAGAAAUUCCGGUUUUAGUAAAGCGUGCCGUUGAGCAGCAUAGAUCAUGUGAAGCGUUUGUUUUCCAGGUGUGAGCUGAGCUCGCUGAAACACCUGCUGCACACUGAACACACUACUGGAUGGAAAAAUAAGUCCUCCUCAAAGCUUCUUCACAACGCCGUUGAAGGCAGUUCUUUAUUUAGUGGAUGGUUCUUCACAUGCUUUUAGUUUUUCUUUAAAGAACUGACGGUUCUUUGAUUUUAUUGGAGCUCUCUGGGAGCAGGUAAAAGGGUCAUUCCAGAAUUGGAGGACAUUUUACGUCCCACCCAUCAAAUUUCAAAUAAUCCAUGUACAAAAUACUAAAACAUGCAGUGGUUUUGUAAAUGUUCUUGUCCUGAGACCAAAUCUAAUAAAAAAAACUAGGAGAAAAUAAUGUUUGAAAAUAUUUUAAAAUACCAAAUAAGUCUGGAGUUCCUCCUGAAAUAGUAUUUUUAUUCUUGUCCCUCUCCCCUAAUGACCAAACUGAAUCUCAGAUAAAACAGUUAAAAUGAAAUUUAAAUCUCCUGUUUGGUGUUUUUUUUUCAUUGAUCCUGCUUGUAAUUGGAAAUUUUUUUUAAAUUAAUAUAUUUUACAUAAUUAUUAUCCAUGGAACGUGUGUCCCACAACAACCCUGUUAGCAUAACCUUUUUAUCUGGUAGAAGAAGAAAAAAAACAGUGAAUCACAUGAAACGCUGGAAUCAAACAGUUUUCCUUGAAGAAAGCUAUGCCCUCUCUUCUAUUUUUCAUAUUUUCAUAACAUUGUCUCACUCUACCUCAUAUUAUCAGGAUCAGACUAAUUCUUUUGACUGUUUUCCAUCAGUCAGUUUGUCCUCUAGGUCAGCAGUAACAGCUAGCUAAAUAUCUAGCUUCUACUGCUGAGGAAAAGCUAACAUUAGCAUGGAUUAGCAGCCCUGUUACUGUGAUUAGAGUAGGGUUAGCAAACAACAAAUAAAACAUGGAAUAAAAUGCUACCAUUGAUGUGUAAACUGAGCUAGUGAAGCCUUUGGAGGUUUAUGACCUAUUAUUGAUGAAUAUGGAGCAGAAAUUUGUAAAAGAGAAGGUUUACUUUUUCAUAAAUUUGAAAUCCAAAUGUCCUGCAGUUCUGGAAUGACUCAACAGCAUGGACCUGCAACCAAAAAUUCUUUUCAUUAUCAAUUAAUCUGUAAACUAUUUUCUCAAUUAAUUGAUUAGUCUUCUGGUCUAAAAACACCAGAAAAUUCAAAGCUGGCAUCUUGGGAUGUGUGUUUCUGUCUAAGAAAUCAAAAAUAAUAGAUUAAUUAAAAGUCUUCAAAAAAAACCCCAUUCAUUUAGAAAAAAAGCAAUAAACAAAAAACAACGGAACCACUAAAAAGAGGUUUUUUAGACACAGAAUUAUCUUGAAUACAGUGUCUUUAAAGUGCCUAAAAGUGUCUCGUAAAGUGUUUAAAGGAACAUUUUUUUUAUGGUGAGGCACCUUUGGUGGUUCUUUAAUGAACUGACUGCAGAAAAGCCUCUCUAAUCAUUGUCUUGCUAAAAGGUUCAUUGUAGAGCUAAAAAUGGUUCUUUUAUGGCCCCACUGUGGAAGAAACAUUUUUUGAUCCAGUUAGCGCCUUCAUUAAAUUAUUUUUUCAGUGUAGAGUUUGCAUUUUACAGCAGGGACUUUCACAAAGUUUCUUGAUUUUUUUAUUUUUCUGAAAUUUUCUAUGAUUUAAUUCCUGCCUUAAUUAAAACUGGACCAAGAGAAGAAUAAAAACCUCUAACUCUUUCCUGCCUGUGUUUCAGUCCUUUCGCUCGGGACAGACUGGCUGCUGUUUCAGGAUCAACAUGAAGACGAUGGUCUGAUGGAGUCCUCCAAGGUUAGUUCCACACAGCCAACGCUGAGCUGCAGAACAAACAAUGACUCCAACGGUCUGUCCACUGCUGCUCCUUCACAUCUUAACUCUCUGCUGCUUUUCUUUGCUGUUGUAAUGUUGCAACCAAAUGAGCGCUCCUUUCACAGACUUCCCCCCCCCAAAUUUUUUUACGUCACUAUUUUUGCAUAUUUACAUAAAAGAAAAUAGUACAUAAUGGCUGUAGAACAUUACAUUUUUGCAGCCAACAGUUCAGCAUUUGUGUUCUCUCUCUCUCACUGGAUGCUGCUGAACUUCGUAACACAAUUUGCCUUCUUUCAGCAGAGUUUGUGAGCCAUUAGAGCUAUUCUCUGUCAGCUCCUACAACCAGAUAUUCUCAUGUGAAGCAAUCCACCAUAAUGAAGAUAAAAAAUAUCAGAGUACAUGGUAAAAAUGCUCUUCAUUCUAAAAAAUAAUAUUGUAAAUUACAGGAUUUUCAAUAACCAGCCUCUAGCAUGAUAUUUAUAGUUAAAGCUGCAUGGAAAAUGAAUUCCUAAUGAACCACAUCACAUUUAAUAAGUAAGGAUGCUGUUUUUUAUUCACCAGUCUCCACAGUGGGUGAGCUCAGUGUUGUCACCUGCCAUCUCCUAAAGUAGAACAAAGAAAGAUCAGCUAUAAAUACUUAUUUAAAUGUGGUUGCAUUUACUUUAGUACAGAGCUCGUGUUGACAAUGAAAGCUUGUUUAAUAUUAUUAAGAAGCCCAAUUACAUUUUAGUAUUUUAGUACAUUAGUAUGACAUGUUGGCACUUGCUUUAAAAAUAACAAAUUACAAAGUCCCUAAGAACCAAAAUCACGCAGGGAGCUUUCUGCUGGCUGUUUUUUUUUUUU